CCGCAACGGCCGCACGUAAAUCUCUCCCCUAAUCCCUUGAGAUUCCAAUCAGGUGGCACCGCCCCGAGCUGUUCCACCAUACAGAGCGCACCCAACUUUGCAUCUCCGAGAUCCCAUGUCCUCUUCGUCCAGCAGCACAACAUACUCACCGGUCAGCUCCACGCCUUCGCCCCUGCACCUCCUUCUCUCCUCGUUGUUGAGCGGCAGGUUACAAAUCGGAUGGAUCGGCAGCCGGAGUAGCACGGGCCGGCUGACGAACCGACAGUGGGUUGCAAAAAUUCCCCCCUAGUCGAAGCGCCCAUCUCGAAAUCGAAGGGGAUUGACGCUGGAUGCAUCUACUUCAGAGAUGACGUGUCGAAUUCAUCACAAAGACCCACAUGGCUCAGACGUCCGGGCUAUCAGGGUAUACAACCUCAAGGAUGACACAAUGAAGAUCAAAGCGCUCGGGCAAAGGCACCUCAACUUGUACCCAUUGGCGCCGUGGACAACACCCUCCAUCACAUGAUGGCUAAUUAGUGAAAUUUGACACAUGAAAGCAAUUUUACUUCACCUUGAAACACUCUGCAUUUGACAACAACAUUUCUUUCUUUCUUUGCAAACAAAUCGUUCAUUUGAAUUAGAAGCAUGUGUAAUUAUGACUCCAUUUGACAGUAGCAUUUUCAUUCUUUCUUUGCAAACAAACCCUUCAUUUGAAUUAGAGCCAUGUGUAAUUAUGACUGGAAUUAUCUAUCUCUUUAGUGGAAGCAACAUAAUACUUGCUUGGAAGCAA